UACCUCUUGUAAUUACAUCAAGAUGUGGUCUCUCGUGAUUCUUGGGUGUACGUCCUCCCGAGAUUUGAGUGGGGGUCUCCCCCAGGGGUCUUUCAGUAGCUGGCAGAGUUUGAGUUUGGGGAACCUCUGUUUAGUUGUGUUGUUGUUGUUUUCCGUGUGGGCUAUGCUCUUCCUGUGUAUUGCCUUUGUUAUGUUGAGAUAUAUCCCAGUAUACCUCCUCUCUCUCCAAGGUUUUUCUCAUGAUUCGUUGCUGGAUUUUUGCCAAAGCCCUUUCUCCAUUGUCUUACUGUUCUAUUGUGAAGAAAUACCACGGACAAGGUACCUCUUACAAGAGAGGGCAUUUAACUGGGGCUUACUUAGAGUUUCUGAGGUUUAGUUCAUUAGGAUGGGCACACAGGUUGACGUGGUUUAGUCAUUAGGAUGGGGCUCACUGGUUGACAUGAUUUAGUUCAUUAGGAUGGGGCACACAGGUUGAUAUGGUUUAGUUCAUUAGGAUGGGGCACACAGGUUGACAUGGUUUAGUCAUUAGGAUGGGGCACACUGAGAGUUCUGCAUCUGAAUCUGCAGGCAGCAGGAAGAGAGAGGGACACCAGGCCUGGUUUGGGUCUUUGAAAACUCAAAGUCCACCCCCUGCAACAGGGCCACACCUCCUAAUUCUUUUCAAAUAGUUCCAUUCCAUGAUGACUUAGCACUCAAAUACAUGAACUUCUAGGGACCAUUCUUAUUCAGACCACUACAUGUAUUUAAUGUGGUGUUGGUCCUUUAAUUUAUUUGGGGGUGGUUUAAAAAAUAUAUGUAUAUGUAUAUGUAUAUGUAUAUGUAUAUGUAUAUGUAUAUGUAUAUCAAUAAAGCCAUUCCUGUAUCUCUGGGAUGGAAGUGGCUUGAUCAUGAUGUAUACUCUUUUUGAUGUGUUCUUGAAUUCAAUUUGCAAAUAUUUUAUUGAAAAUUUUUGCAUCCAUGUUCAAAAGACACAUUGGUCUAUACUUUUUUGUUGAACCUUUGAUUUUUGGUAUGAAGUAAUAUGAGUUUCAUAAAAGAAAUUAGGAUAUGUUUCUUCCCUCUGCAGACUAGCUCAAGGAGUGUUGUCGGGUCUUCACUAUAAGGACUAGCAGGAUUCUGCACUGACUCCAUCUAGCUCUGGACUGAUUUUACAUGGGAGAUUUUAAAUUAUGUUUUUUAUCUUAUUGUUUAUUAAGAAUCUAUUUAAAUCGCUUAUUACAUCUUGAUUUAACUUUGAUAAGUUGUAUAUAUCUAGAAGUUAAUCUGUUUCUUUUAGAGUUUUCCAACUUGGCGGAAUAUGGAUGUUAAAAGUAUGUUUUUAUGAUUCUCUGAGUUUCAUCAGUGUCUUUUAACAUAUUUUUUAUCCCUAGUUUUAUUAAUUUGGACCAUUUUUCUCUUUCUUUUCGUUAGUUUUGCCAAAGAUUUAUCAAUCUUCUUAAUCUUUUCAAAGUACUGAUUCAUUGUUUCAUUGUUUUUUUUUUUAAAUACUGGUUUCUUUGUCUCUGUUUUAUGAAUUUUAGCUCCAAUUUUGCUUAUUUCUUCUCACCCACUCUUUUUGGUUUCUGUCUUGCUAGGGCCUUCAGAUGUUGAGUUAUAAUUUUAGAGCUCUAUUUUUGAUGUAAGAACCUAUUACUGUAAACUUCCCUCUUAGGCUUGCCUUUAUUAUGGCCAUUGAUUUUGUUGCAUUGUGUUUUCAUUUUCAUGCAAGCUCUAGGAAUUUUAAAGUCUCUAUCUUGAUUCCUUCACCCAAUUUCAGUUUAUUAGUAUCUUAUUUAGCGUCUAUGAAUUUGUGUACUUUGUCUUAUCUUUUGUGGUUGAUAUCCAUCUUUAUUGCAUCGUGCUUCAAUAGAAUAUGGAAUGUAAUUCAAUGUUCCUGUAUUUAUUGAGGCUCACUUUGUGUUGUAAAAUGUGAGCUAUUUUGGAGAAAUUUCCCUGAGCUACUGAGAAUAUGUAUUCUUUAGUGUUUGGCUAGGAUAUUCUUAGAUACAUACCUGUCAGGUACAUUUGAUUUAUGAUGCUAUCUAAUUCAAGUUUCUCUAUUUAGUUUCUUUCUAGAUUAUUUGCUUAUUACUGAGAGUAGAAUACUGAAAUUGCCCCUAUUAUUGUAUUGGUGUCAGUUUGUGGUUUUAAGUCUAAUGGUGUGUGUGUGUGUGUGUUUGUAAAAUUGGUGCUUCUGUGUUUGGUGCAUUAGGAUUAUAAUAUCUUGUGGAUUUUCCUUUAAAGAGGAUAAAUUGUCCCUUCUUAUCUCUUGCCCAGAAGUGGUUUGAAGUUGAUUAGGUCACAUAUUUGAAUAGCCACACCUGCUUGUUUCUUUGUUCCAUUUGCUUAGAAUACCCUUUUCAAACUUUUACUAUCAGGGUGGUAUCUAUCAUGGUCAUGAGUUCU